AUGAAAAAACAGGGGAGCUUGUGCUGACAGGCUGAGAGGAAGGACAUACCUUCGACCCUUUAACCUGAUGCGGAUAAUGCCGCCGGAGGAAGUCAUCAACGAUUUUUU
rnacentral:ncRNA from 2 species